ensembl:lncRNA LINC02250 long intergenic non-protein coding RNA 2250
AGAGGCUGGGAACACCAAGGGCAUGGCAGCAGCAUCUGGUGGGGUUCUGUGCUACAUUACCCCAUGGUGGAAGGGCAGAGGGCAGAGGGCAGAAGAGGAAAGGCAGAAGAGAAAGACAGCAUGGGAGACAGCAAGAAAAUGGAGGCCAAAACUUAUCCUUUUAUCAGGAAUCCACUCCCACAGGGUGAGGAGAUUAUCAAUAUGCUGGGAGCUCAGCUGGGCAUGCAUUUCUGGAUCCUCACUCAGGGAGAAAAACUCACCGACUGUGCGAUUGGCAGCAGCUACAAACCAGCACAGUCUGCAGGUCACAGUGACAAGUUUCAAAUAGAAACCUGGCAUCCAAAAAUAUACAGCUUUGGCCACGAAAGCAUGGGGUUAUUCCAAAGUAUUCUGAGGCUAGUCUUGCUGGCGCCCACAGUGGCCUAUUCUGAGGCAUGUUUUAAAUAAGAGUCCUGGCAGCAGGCCUCCAAGCUUCAGAAAUAUAAGCUGGUUCCUCUCAUCAGUCACUGACUGUCUCUCCGAAUGUUGUCGAAUCUGGAUGUUCUCAGCAGUUCAAUUGUUCUUCACAUUGUCCUUUGUGCGAGCCAAGGAACUGAACUUUCUAAGUAAAGAUUUAAAAAGCAUCCUUGCAAUGAAGGUAGAAGGUCUACUGGCUGGGUUGAGCCUCUCUGCUGUCUUCAAUGGCAUCUGGAACUCAAAAGGCACCUGGAAGCAUUUUCCACCUUCCAUACAUGGGUGCCAGUGUUCAGGCCUGUGCCAGGGUCCCAGGGUCAGGGUCGCCAGGCUCUGCCUUCUCCUGGGAUAACUGUUGGCUCCACCCACGAUACUAUCAGUGCAGUGUUCCUGAGCAAACGUUCAAUGGGCAGCAUGCAGAAGCCACUUUUGGAAUUCCCCCAUAUGUCUUUUCUUUCCAUCUAGCUUCAGAAAUAUAUGUAAACAUGUGGAAACCUUGCUUAAAA